GUUUCUGUCCAGUAACACAUAGACUAAAACUGGAAUAAUACAGAGAAGGUUAGUAUGGCCCCUGCACAAGAAUGACAUGCAAAUCUGUGAAGCAUUUCCUAUUUUU